rnacentral:rRNA from 1 species
GACGUAGGGUGCGAGCGUUGUCCGGAUUUAUUGGGCGUAAAGAGCUCGUAGGCGGCUCGUCGCGUCGACCGUGAAAACCCGCAGCUUAACUGCGGGCUUGCGGUUGAUACGGGCGGGCUAGAGUUCGGUAGGGGAGACUGGAAUUCCUGGUGUAGCGGUGAAAUGCGCAGAUAUCUGGAGGAACACCGGUGGCGAAGGCGGCAUCCUGGACCGGCAUUGACGCUGAGGCGCGAAAGCCAGGGGAGCAAACGGG